UACGAAGGGUGCAAGCGUUACUCGGAAUUACUGGGCGUAAAGCGUGUGCAGGUGGUCUUUUAAGUCUGCUGUGAAAUCCCCGGGCUCAACCUGGGAAUGGCAGUGGAUACUGGAAGGCUAGAGUGCGGUAGAGGGUAGUGGAAUUCCCGGUGUAGCGGUGAAAUGCGUAGAGAUCGGGAGGAACACCAGUGGCGAAGGCGGCUACCUGGACCAGCACUGACACUCAGACACGAAAGCGUGGGGAG
rnacentral:rRNA from 1 species